UACGUAGGGUGCAAGCGUUGUCCGGAAUUAUUGGGCGUAAAGAGCUCGUAGGCGGUUUGUUGCGUCGGCUGUGAAAUCCCGAGGCUCAACCUCGGGUCUGCAGUCGAUACGAGCAAACUAGAGUGUUGCAGGGGAGACUGGAAUUCCUGGUGUAGCGGUGAAAUGCGCAGAUAUCGGAAGGAACACCAGUAGCGAAGGCGGUACUCUGGGCCGGAACUGACGCUGAGGAGCGAAAGCGUGGGGAGCGAACAGG
rnacentral:rRNA from 1 species